CAUACUUACUAUUUCCUUUGUCACAGUUCCUCAUGAACACACACAACGCGUUUCUGCUGUUACAUCCUGUGAACUCUGCCCCUCUCAUCUCUUUCCCCAGUUAGGACCGAGCCUAUGAACAACAGUGAGACUGACAAACGCAGGCAGCAGCACUGGACAGCCAUGCAGGCAAAGUUAAGACAGGGCCUUUAAACAACAGUGAGACUGACUACCACAGAAGGCAGCACUAGACAGCCAUUGCCGGCAAAGGAAUCAUAUUUUAUGCAGUGCUGGUGAAAUGGACAAUCAGACAUGUCAGCUGUUGUUUCAUUGGAUGUCUUGUGGAAUCUGUCCAUUCUUUUGAAAUAAUGUGGAUUGUCCUGCAUUUCCAGGCCUGCUCCGAGAUUAAAUAGGUAUGAUGUCGGGCUCCUAUUGCACAGCAAUACUGUAGCCUACCCAUACUGUAAAAUAUUUGUUAUAUUUACAGGUCUAUUUUACUUUCGAGCAUGGUUGGCUAUUGAAUGAGCGAUGUUUAGACAGUACACAUAUUUUCCCAGGUUUUUUAGUCCAGCCCCCCCAUUAAAUCAAGUUAAGGAGGAAACCGAUGUCUUUCCAGCCUGAAUGGAGGAUGUUUUAUGUACGAACCGGACGCGGGGGGGUUAGGAGUGUAUUGCACAAGGCCAGACGAUGUAAACCUUGGCGAACCGUUGGGUUUGGUGGAACCGUUGGGGCUAGUAGACAGCUGUACAAAACACAAGUUACACACACACAUUUUAAAACACAGAGACACAUUUUAUGAUUAAAAACCAGACUGGAUUUUGUUAAAAAUUUUACAUUUAAAGAAACUACGUUGGUAGACAAAAUUCCAAAAUAUAAAAUAAAUAAAAGCAAAAGGACAUCAGACAAAAAGUUUCACUCUCCACAGUCUCCAUUGACAAUAAUCACAUUUGACAUUAAUACUGUUGAUAAAUUAAUACACUUAAAAUAACUGUUAAUAGUUGACAUUUUCAGUACGUCUAAAUGUGUAUGUGUGUAUGUUUAUAAAUGCAUGCAGGUGUUACAGAUUAACUAUGGCAGAAUGAGCCAGGAUUCAAAUGAUCCUUUUCAUUUUGCAUG